rnacentral:rRNA from 1 species
AACGUAGGAGACAAACGUUAUCCGGAGUUACUGGGCGUAAAGGGCGUGCAGGCGGUUGACUAAGUCUGGCGUGAAAGCUCUCGGCUAAACCGAGAGAGGUCGUCGGAGACUGGUUGACUAGAGGACGGUAGAGGCGAGUGGAAUUCCGGGUGUAGUGGUGAAAUGCGUAGAGAUCCGGAGGAACACCAGUGGCGAAGGCGACUCGCUGGGCCGUACCUGACGCUAAGACGCGACAGCAUGGGGAGCGAACGGGAUUAGAAACCCCCGUAGUCC